CCUACGGGUGGCAGCAGUGGGGAAUAUUGGACAAUGGGCGAAAGCCUGAUCCAGCCAUGCCGCGUGUGUGAAGAAGGCCUUCGGGUUGUAAAGCACUUUCAGUGGGGAAGAAAGCCUUGGGGCUAAUACCCUCGAGGAAGGACAUCACCCACAGAAGAAGCACCGGCUAACUCCGUGCCAGCAGCCGCGGUAAUACGGAGGGUGCGAGCGUUAAUCGGAAUUACUGGGCGUAAAGCGCGCGUAGGCGGUCUGAUAAGCCGGUUGUGAAAGCCCCGGGCUCAACCUGGGAACGGCAUCCGGAACUGUCAGGCUAGAGUGCAGGAGAGGAAGGUAGAAUUCCCGGUGUAGCGGUGAAAUGCGUAGAGAUCGGGAGGAAUACCAGUGGCGAAGGCGGCCUUCUGGACUGACACUGACGCUGAGGUGCGAAAGCGUGGGUAGCAAACAGGAUUAGAUACCCGUAGUC
rnacentral:rRNA from 1 species